rnacentral:sRNA from 1 species
GAAGGCCUUUAUUUACCCACAGAAUAAGUACAGAAUAAGCAGCAACAGAGCAUGCUUCCCCGCCUUCCCCUGACAGGAUACCUAGUUCUGGGCUGGAGCCGGACCUCAAGCCAACUGCUUGAGAAAGGUUUUC